rnacentral:rRNA from 1 species
GAUGAACGCUGGCGGCGUGCCUAACACAUGCAAGUCGAGCGAACAGACGAGGAGUUUGCUCCUCUGACGUUAGCGGCGGACGGGUGAGUAACACGUGGAUAACCUACCUAUAAGACUGGGAUAACUUCGGGAAACCGGAGCUAAUACCGGAUAAUAUAUUGAACCGCAUGGUUCAAUAGUGAAAGACGGUUUUGCUGUCACUUAUAGAUGGAUCCGCGCUGCAUUAGCUAGUUGGUAAGGUAACGGCUUACCAAGGCAACGAUGCGUAGCCGACCUGAGAGGGUGAUCGGCCACACUGGAACUGAGACACGGUCCAGACUCCUACGGGAGGCAGCAGUAGGGAAUCUUCCGCAAUGGGCGAAAGCCUGACGGAGCAACGCCGCGUGAGUGAUGAAGGUCUUCGGAUCGUAAAACUCUGUUAUUAGGGAAGAACAAAUGUGUGAGUAACUAUGCACGUCUUGACGGUACCUAAUCAAAAAGCCACGGCUAACUACGUG